rnacentral:rRNA from 1 species
UACGGGGGAGCAAGCGUUGUUCGGAUUUACUGGGCGUAAAGGGCGCGUAGGCGGCCAGCACAAGUCAGUUGUGAAAUCUCCGAGCUUAACUCGGAAAGGUCAACUGAUACUGUGCGGCUAGAGUGCGGAAGGGGCAACUGGAAUUCUUGGUGUAGCGGUGAAAUGCGUAGAUAUCAAGAGGAACACCUGCGGCGAAGGCGGGUUGCUGGGCCGACACUGACGCUGAUGCGCGAAAGCGUGGGGAGCAAACAGG